rnacentral:rRNA from 1 species
AGUGAACGCUGGCGGUAGGCCUAACACAUGCAAGUCGAACGGCAGCACAGUAAGAGCUUGCUCUUACGGGUGGCGAGUGGCGGACGGGUGAGGAAUACAUCGGAAUCUACUUUUUCGUGGGGGAUAACGUAGGGAAACUUACGCUAAUACCGCAUACGACCUACGGGUGAAAGCAGGGGAUCUUCGGACCUUGCGCGAUUGAAUGAGCCGAUGUCGGAUUAGCUAGUUGGCGGGGUAAAGGCCCACCAAGGCGACGAUCCGUAGCUGGUCUGAGAGGAUGAUCAGCCACACUGGAACUGAGACACGGUCCAGACUCCUACGGGAGGCAGCAGUGGGGAAUAUUGGACAAUGGGCGCAAGCCUGAUCCAGCCAUACCGCGUGGGUGAAGAAGGUCUUCGGGUUGUAAAGCCCUUUUGUUGGGAAAGAAAAGCAGCAGGUUAAUACCCCGCUGUGCUGACGGUACCCAAAGAAUAAGCACCGGCUAACUUCGUG